rnacentral:rRNA from 1 species
GAUGAACGCUGGCGGCGUGCUUAACACAUGCAAGUCGAACGAAGCACCUUGGAAUGCGUCUUCGGACAAGUGAAUUGGUGACUUAGUGUCGAACGGGUGAGUAACACGUGGGUAACCUGCCCCAAAGCGGGGGAUAACAUUUGGAAACAGAUGCUAAUACCGCAUAACCACAGAAACCACAUGAUUUCUGUGUCAAAGAUUGUUUCGGCUAUCACUCUGGGUCGGACCCGCGGCGUAUUAACUAGUUGGUAAGGUAAUGGCUUACCAAGGAAAAGAUACGUAGCCGAACUGAGAGGUUGAGCGGCCAAAAUGGGAAUGAGAAAAGGCCCAAACUCCUAAGGGAGGGAGGAGUAGGGAAUCUUCCAAAAGGGACGAAAGGCUGAUGGAGCAACGCCGGGGGAGUGAAGAAGGUUUUCGGAUCGUAAAACUAUGUUGUCAGAGAAGAACGUGUGCGAGAGUAACUGCUCGUGCAGUGACGGUAUCUGGCCAGAAAGCAACGGCUAACUACGUGCCAGCAGCCGCAGUAAGAC